AUUAGACGAAUCAUCUGGAAAGAUGAAUCAAAGAAGGUAAUAAUCCUGUAGUCGAAAAUGUUGUCUCUCUUGAGUGGAUCCUGAGUACGACGGAGCACGUGAAAUUCCGUCGGAAUCUGGGAGGACCAUCUCCUAAGGCUAAAUACUCUCUAGUGACCGAUAGUGAACCAGUACCGUGAGGGAAAGGUGAAAAGCACCCCGGAAGGGGAGUGAAAUAGAACCUGAAACCGUGUGCUUACAAGUAGUCAGAGCCCGUUAAUGGGUGAUGGCGUGCCUUUUGUAGAAUGAACCGGCGAGUUACGAUUUGAUGCAAGGUUAAGCAGUAAAUGUGGAGCCGUAGCGAAAGCGAGUCUGAAUAGGGCGUUUAGUAUUUGGUCGUAGACCCGAAACCAGGUGAUCUACCCUUGGUCAGGUUGAAGUUCAGGUAACACUGAAUGGAGGACCGAACCGACUUACGUUGAAAAGUGAGCGGAUGAACUGAGGGUAGCGGAGAAAUUCCAAUCGAACCUGGAGAUAGCUGGUUCUCUCCGAAAUAGCUUUAGGGCUAGCCUCAAGUGAUGAUUAUUGGAGGUAGAGCACUGUUUGGACGAGGGGCCCCUCUCGGGUUACCGAAUUCAGACAAACUCCGAAUGCCAAUUAAUUUAACUUGGGAGUCAGAACAUGGGUGAUAAGGUCCGUGUUCGAAAGGGAAACAGCCCAGACCACCAGCUAAGGUCCCAAAAUAUAUGUUAAGUGGAAAAGGAUGUGGCGUUGCCCAGACAACUAGGAUGUUGGCUUAGAAGCAGCCAUCAUUUAAAGAGUGCGUAAUAGCUCACUAGUCGAGUGACACUGCGCCGAAAAUGUACCGGGGCUAAACAUAUUACCGAAGCUGUGGAUUGUCCUUUGGACAAUGGUAGGAGAGCGUUCUAAGG
rnacentral:rRNA from 1 species